GUUAUCGUCUGCUACUUUGUUUGUCCGGUUAGGAGAGAAUUCGUCGAUGAUGCAGGACAGGGGAGAAAUAUACAAUUUGAGGACAAGUUUUGCAGCGUAAGGGUGUGGCAUCUGCGCCACGCAAAUGAUCUUUAUUAAAGCAUUGGCGUCAGGAGGUGGAGACGGUAUCAUAAAAUUGUCAGAUUUUUGUAUCUAUAAUCGCAAAUGUUGGCGAUUUUGUUUUGCUUUGACGGGGCCCGUCUCCUGGUUUGCGUGCGCGUCAUCGGCAGGAUGAGGUCGUAUUUUUGUGUCUGCUGGUUUGCCUGUCAGAUUCUCAGGAAUUCAUUGGAAAAAAAAAACGGAAUUGUGGAAAUUAUACAAUUUGGAGACGGAUUUUAAUUCUUUUUAAUUUGAUGUCAGCUCCGGGAUAAUGAUCCUUGUUAGUGCAGUGGCAUCAGGAGGUGGAGACGGCGUUGGCUCGUCUUCUCUUGUUGGUUGCUUUGGAUCACCAGUUGGCUGUGUUUAUUGAGGUUUAGCGUCUCUAAUGUAGGCGCUCGUCGAUCUGAGAGAAUUUAAGAGUAGUGGAAAGGAUAGAUUUUGCAGCUCCGCGCUGAGAGCCCUGAACGAAGCGUAGGCAGCUUAUAUGGCCCGUCUAUUGCAGUGCAGCACUGCAAGUGGAUUGCAUCGGAGAUAAGGGAUACUAAUCGGGACCGUGUGGCAAGGAGGUUCAGGACUUGGUUGUAUUUUUCGUAUCUUUCAUCAGUAUCAGCUGGAGUGCGUUUUCGUAAGCUUGAUUAUCCGGAUGCUUUGAGGUGAAAUUAGGCUGUGUCGAGGAAGGAGAUGACCGAGCAAGAGUUUGGGAGCAGACUGACGUGCGCUUUUCCAUCGGAUAUAGAUGUUGUUAGAAUAAGUAUAAGUAAAUGUAGGAUUAAUUGGAAGUUUCCAUGUCAGGAUUGUUAACUCUUCCUUGUAUGAUUAAGGCCAAUAAACUGUCAAUUUUCUUCUCUAAA